AUUGUCAAUUUUUUAAAAUGAAAUCUUUUUCAUUCAGUUAUAUGUUGGACUUUUAAUUCAAAGUCUUUUUGUUUCUUUGUUUUUGUUUUAAAUUUUACUCACAAAGGUUCUAUACAAUUCUAACUAUGCUUAUUUCUAAGUAUUAUAAUUUUUAUAUUUGAAUUGUUCUCUUAGCAAUCAGUCUACUUGCAUUGUACUGCCACAUUGCUAAGGAGAAAUGUUAACCAUGAUAAAUAAAUUAUUCUAUAUGAAAACCAUGUGAGAAGCAGUUUGAACAUAAUUAGGGUCUGCAGUUUGGAAAGAUGCCCCUGAGUUCUGACUUGGAGUAUUUUUUGACAUCACCAUUGUGUUGUUUGUUUUCCUGUGUGUGUGUGCAUCUUGCUCCUCUCUCCCUGUCAUUGUACUCUCCACAGGAUUUUUCUCCUGACAUUCACGCAUGCACCCCCACCCAUCUUGGCUUAUGUAGAAAAUUACUGCCCAUGUCUUUGAGAUGCAUUCUUGGAACACCCAGAACAAAUGCUCUUUAUACCCAAAAGUCUUAGUUUAAAAUCAGACAAUUCAAACAGAGCCUUUAGAUUUGUGGAAAUCCAAUUAUCCACUUUUAUGAGAUAUCAUCACAAACAGAUGAAAAUAUAUUCAUAUGCUUUAAUAUAUAUUCAUAGGUAAGAUUUGUUUGUAAUUUUCUUUUUUGCUAUCUAUGGUUUUGUUCUAGAUAAUGCUGGUUUCAUAAAAUAGAUUGUACACCUUAUGUCAUUUUCUGAACUCUGAAACAAUUUGAAUAGUGUGAUAGAUGUUAAGCCCUUGAAAGUGUGAAUUUACUUCUCAUGAAAAAUAAUCUACAAGUUGUACUUUGACACCUGUUCCAAUUCCUCUCUGUUCAUGCAUUCAAGUUGUUGAAUGCCUGCCCUCUGCCAGAAACCAUAUUAGAUAUGUUUCAGUUUCUACUUAUCCUUGAUUCAAUUUGAAGUAAUUAUUUUGACCCAGAGAUUCAUCAGUUUCAUUGAGAUAUUCAAAUUGAGUGAAGUUAUGCAUAAUCUUCUUUUAUAAUUUUUGAAUCUCUUCUAAUUUGGAUUUUUGUGUUUUCACUUUUUUCAUUAGACUUGUCAUAUGUGUAUAUUCUAUUGCUUAUAUGUAGAGAGUUUGUCUUGAAUAUCUCAGUUCUGCUUUUUCCCUCUAUUUUUAAGUAUAUUAGCUUCUGAUCUUAUUAUUUACAUUUUUCUAGUAUAUUUAUACUUAUUUUCUAAUUUCUUAAUGAAUCUAUAGUAAUUGUUUUCUUCAAUAAUGACCGUAUUUACAGCCAAACAUGUAUCUCUGGUAACUGCUGUGGCUGCAUUUUCAUGUGUUUUUAUAUGUAAUGUUCUACGUUUUCAUUUUAUAAAUAGUUUGUAUUUUUAUCGUAAGCUUAAAAUAUAUUCAGUCAUUUUAUGUGUCACAAAAGAAACAGACACAUUUAAGCUAGCAAAAAACUUUUCAUACAAAGCCUGUGUGUCUUCUGGCUUUGAAUAAUAACCACAGUCACUUGAAAUACUUUAAAUUUUAUGUGAUUAAAAUUAAGGCCUAGAAAUUUAUUAAUGGAAUACUUCAAACCUAAAUUUUAUUUUUAAGAGUCUUUAUCCUCCUAGACUGAUUUUUUUUUGACUAAUUGUGUUCUCUAUUAAGACAUAAGUUAAGUUUUAUUCAUCUUUUUAUUAUCUAAGACAUGUAUGCUUACAGGAACAUAAUAGGUUUGCAUAAAUUUUAUUAAACACAUAAAGGCAGUCUAUAGAAAAUAUCGUUUUCAGGACAAGAAAUAAUCAUCUACUUUAGGAAUCUGAGUAACCACUGGAAAUCUCUGUGUUCUAUUAAUCUGAACAGUUGCUAUUACAGGCAACAGAAAUGCAAAUUUGUUUGAGUAAAUAGAGGGGACUUAGGGUGGCAUAUGUGGGUUAACAGGCACCAGGCAAACACAACAGGAUCACAAGCGAUGUUGUCAGGAUCUAUUGUCCUUGCUCCAUCUUUUGAAUCUGCUUUCUUCUGUGUUGGAGUUCUUAAGGCCCUCUGCUCAUGUCAGGAAAGAUGUCAAUAGCAGCUACAAGCGUAUGGGAUUUACCAGCUAGCAAUUCCAAGAAAUAAUAUAUUUCCCAAGUAAAGCCACUAGGAAGGCUCAAUUCAGCCCAUUUCUGACUCAAUUCCUGAGGCUGGGAGGAUGAGCUCCUCUAAGAUUCCAGGCCUGGGCAUGAUCACACCUCUGUAAUGAGGGCAUGUUCACACCUCUGUAGUGAGGUGUAAUGACGGGGGCAGCUCUCCUCCACCACCUGGGCUGGUGCCCAUCAUGUAGGAAGGUUUGUUUCAGAAGACCAGAGGAUGAAUAUUGGGGCAGGCAACAGGUAAGAGAUGUUUGCAAAAUCAUUGUUUUCAUAAUUUUGAAUGUCCUAUACUUUCAAUUGUAACAUGAUUGCCUGACAUCAAUUCAAAACCCUGAGCUCCCUAGAGAGCUCAGUUGGUGUUGCUGUUCUCUUUACUCUUUCUUUAGCCAUGAGCUUCAACUAGUUCUCAGCUCAAGUCUUACAGCUCCUCUUUUGUUUCUUUAUGUUGAGGAGCGGGGGAAGAUUACAUUCAACUUCAGACAGCUUGGAAAAAGUUAGAAGCAAAAGAUGAAUCUGAAUGCUGUCUGAUAGUCCAUUUUUAAUCAGAGGAGAGCAAUUUUCCCUUCUCAAAGAAUGUCUCUUCACAUCAGGUAUUUGGCUUCUAGGUGCUUGCUGAUUAAUUACUUACAUUUACAUAACAUUAAUCUCCUUUCUAACAAUUUAGCAGGCUUCCAGCCGUUUUCCCCGCCUCAUCAGUCUGGCAGAACAUCCUCGAUCUUAAAAGAGCCACAACUACUUUUGCAAUGUGUAGAUUUUGAAAACUUACUUAAAUAAAACAGAAUAAAAAUCUUAAGCAAAGCUAUAAAUGAUUAUAUCUUCCAUGUAUAUUAGGUAGAUAUCUGAAUGAAAUGCUUGGUCUACACACUUUAUUUUGAGUUGUGUAUAUGGAAAAUAUCUUCCCUUCUGUUUUGAAAUUCCUUCCUUGAAUUCUUUCCCAGAAUCUUAUUCAUUCAUUCUAAGCUCAGCUCCAAUAACACCUCCUUUUGGAGGACCUUCCAGAGCCUCCUGGUCACUUGAUAUCUUUCAUUACAAUUCCACAUCACUAUUUGGGAUUACAUUCAUGCAUUCAUUCAACAGAAAUUUAUUGAGCUCUUCCAAUGUUAACCCCUAUGUAGGUGCUGGGGGCAAAAAUGUGAUGAAAAACAGAAAUAGUCUCUGCUUUCCAGAACCCUCAGUCAAAAGGGAUGUGUAAGGUAUAGUGACUGUGAUGUCACAAAGAUAGGAAUUUAGCCAGGAGGAAAUACUUGCAUUAGAUCUUGAGGAAUAAGCCCAAGUUCACCACACAAGUAAAGAAUGGGGUUGGCAGUACUGUCCUUACAUGGGCCAAGAAGGGUACCCCAUGCUUUCAGGAUCCUGCUGUGUCCUUUCUCUAGCUCUGCACCACCCUAUGUUUCUGCUUUCUAGAACCGGUUUCAACCACCCAGUGCCCCAGAGUUCCCUACCCAAACAUCCCCAAACUCCCUUCCAGGCCUGCACUGGACUUUUCCCCAAGUCCGUACUCUUAAAGGCCAGAAUGUGCUGAUAGUGUGUGUACCCUAGGCCCAAGCUUUGGGGUGAUGUUGGGGAGGGUGAGUGGAGCUUAGAUUAAGUGGUCCAUACAUCUAUACCCAAAAGCGUUUGUUGAAUUGGAGAAAGCCAGGGAGCAGAGAGCAGUGGAGCGGGCUGGCAUAUUCUACAGCAGUAAGUUCCAGCAUGGAAAAAUCCAAGGAGCCUGAAAAUUCUAAAUCUGAGCUUGGCCUUCAGGUCAUUAUGAAGAUAUAUUUGUCACAUAGGAAGACAGAAUGCAUUUUUACAUAACAGUUUGUUGGCUUGAUUUAUAACUUUUAAAUGUAUGCAUGUUUGAUAGGUGUGCUUCCAUUUAUGCUCUUGCCUUGGGCUGCAGAAAUGUUAGGGCAGGCCUGGAAGCAAGGCACAGAGAUGGUUCUGAGCCGACAGAAGAGAGACAGAAAGGUCCAGAGGUGUAAUUUGGGAAUCCAAUCACAAGCAGGCAUAAGGCAGCCAAGAAGGAUGAGCCGGUGAUCUCUGCAGUCUGCCCAUAACUCCACACAAAACUUUACCCAUUGUCACAGGAGAGUAUAAGCAUAGCAUAAAGAUCCUCGUAGAUGGACUUUCAGCUCCAUGCUUAAAGCAACUGACAAGAAUCCAUUUCUUUUCAGUGUACAAGUGAAGGGUAAAAGACAGAGAAGGAAGAUAGAGCAUAGGAAAAAGAGUGGGGUGAUAUUUGUCCAUUCAUUUGUUGAAGAAAUGGUUAAAUAAAGGAAUGAAUGACUAAAGACCAGGUUGGCAGGUGAAAGCCAGGGCAGGGGCCUGGGGCAGCAGGCAGAGACACAGCUCUCACAAAUGCAAGAGGAAGACGAAUCAGGCACUCGUCUGUUCUUCAAAGGAUACAGAAUGGUUUUAUUGACCACCUGUACAUGUGAUGGCUUUCAUCCUGGAGGAGAAGGGCAUAUCCACACCUACCGAAUAUCUGUUUCACAGGCAAUGUGCCAAUUAUUUACAUGCAUAAUCUCAGUAAAUCCUUAGACAACUCUGUGGAGGCAUUUACUGAUAUCUCCAUUUUACCCAGGAGGACACUGAGGUCCAGAGAGAUUAAACCAUUUGUCUGAGGUCACACGGCCAGUGAAAUUUUGAUGCAGGAUUUAAAUCCAAGUCUGUCUCUUACCACUGUAUCAUGCUGUUUUCAGAGGUGAGGGGAGGUGUCUUAAGAGUACCAUAUGGCUUCUGCCACUGGGGAGACCACUGUCAAAUUCCAAGAGGAAGAUCAUGAGGGUCUCAACUGAAUUACUGAAGGGGAGAUUGUGUGAGAAGAGACAGAUUUAAGACUUAUCUGCAGGGUAGAAAUUGGAUUGGUGAACUUAAUACAAUGUUUCUUUAUUCAUUCAUUUAUUCAUUUCAAUAUUCACUGAGUUUUAUUAUGUGUCAAGACACUGCAUUUAGUUGGCCCAGGGAAGAAUAAAUGUGAAUAGGACACUGCAUUCAAUGAAUGCUGAUUCUAGAAUGAGCAGCAAACUAAAUCCAGUAAUGAUAUUACAGCAUCACCACAUACUUUCAAUUCUACCUCUUAAAUAUCUCAAUCUAUUUCUUCUUUUCUACCCUCACUGACAUGUGGUUCACAGACCUCAUUAUCUCUCACCCGUUGCUGUAGCAGUCUCAUACCAGGCCUUCCCAUCUUGUAUGUGGCACUAACUCGAGUAUAAGGCCAUUUCAUGGUUUUCUGCCAAGAAUUGUUUUCUCAGCUCAUUGGCAAAACAAACACAGCUUCAGUUCCUAACCUGAAAAGUUUAUGCAUGAAGAAUUUAAAAUAUUAGUAAUCUUUUAUUUAACGUAUAUUUUUUGAACACCUACUAUGUGUGAAGUCUUGAGCAGGCACCAAGUAUGUCACUGCAAGAGGCAUGGCCUGUCUUUGAGGGAGGUACAGACAAGUAAAUAGGCAACCCUAAUACAGUGCUAUAAGUGUAAAUGCCUAAAAUAGUUUAAUGGGGUAAAUUUUGGUAGAAUAUAGGAGGGGCAUUUCUUCCAAACUAAGAGUCAGAUGGAGGAAGUGACAUUUAAACAAAAAAAAUGAGAGAAAUAUGUAUGUUUGGAGAUGCUCUCCAACAGAACCUUUCAUCCUACUCAAAAAUAUUUUGAAUGUAUCUUUUGAGAUAUAGGGAGCUAGAAACAUUAAAGAAAAUAUUGUGCUAUUUUUUUCUGGAACUUGAAAACAGAACAGAUUGUAAGAUGGGGAAUGUUUCCUCACUAAUGACUUUAAUAAAAACUCAAAAUCUACUUGUCAGCUUUAAUAUUCAGAGGCAUGUUAUGAGGGCGCCAACUAAAUUGUAUCUUUCUAAUCCUUUUCUCAGUCAUCUUUUAUCCUUCCUAUCCCCUUUGUUGAAAGAACUGCCAAAGCUAAUUCCCUAUCCUGGAGUUUAGGUUGAUAAAUGGAAAGAUUAUUUCCACUGGGAAUAUUGAUAGGCUCCAGGUCUUGACGCUUGGGUUUUGAAAGAGGAUGCUGCUUUUGUUAAUGGAAAUUCAUGAGUACUUGGAACACAGUGAUACAAUAAUUCCUAAGUCUGGGGUCAACAGGGACCUAUGUUUGUUGGCAGGAGGCACCGGCUCAAAUCAAAUCAGCAGUAACAUUAAGACCAUCAAAAUCAAGAGCUCUUAAAGUGGUGCCAUAUACAAGUUUGAUGCAUAGCUAUAAAUGAUGUAGCUGCUUGAAGUCACAGAAUCUGUCUGUGGUGCUUUUGUUACCUCUACUUUCUCCAUCUGAACUGAGCUGAACACCACCUAAGUCUGAUCAUGAGUUUCCUGUUCCAUAAUGGGACCAACACCAAGGACUCUGUCCACUGAUUUGCUGCAACCAUAACAUUUGCUCCCCCCUUCUCUUUUUCAAGUAUUUCUCACAAUAAAAUAAGUACUUCUCCAUUCCACAGUUGGGAUAUAUAUUCAAAAAGUUGAGAUAUAUAUCUCAACUGUAUAAUGACAGGUGACUUUUUCCCUUACUUUAUAAAUUGAGGUUGAAAAGUUAACUAAUAUGGAGAUGAGUACAUACCUACUAAGUUGGAUCUGGGAUUUAAAUCCAAAGUGUUUGACUCCAUACUCUGCGCACUGACUUUGUUACUCCAAUAUAGAUCGGGCAGCAAGCCAGACAAAAAUCCCAGCUUCAGUUUCUGGCUCAUGAGGUUGACCAACAAUAUUUAAGUUAAAAUCAGUG
rnacentral:lncRNA from 1 species